UGAGCAAUCUGCCCUUCUCAUCGGAAUAAGCGUUGGAAACGACGUCUAAUGCCGAAUACGACCUCCUUUCGCAUGAUCGGAGGUGGAAAGCUCCGGCGGAGAAGGAUGAGCUCGCGGCCUAUCAGCUAGUUGGUGUGGGUAAUGGCCCACCAAGGCGACGACGGGUAGCCGGCCUGAGAGGGCGACCGGCCACACUGGGACUGAGACACGGCCCAGACUCCGUACGGGAGCA
rnacentral:rRNA from 1 species